rnacentral:lncRNA from 1 species
ACCUCUUCCACUGCCACCACCAUGCACCGUCGCCGGUGGUGCUCCAAACACUACCAAACUUUCACCCUCUCCUCGUCUCUUCAUCCUUUACUCAUAUCCGAACCCCAAAUCCUCAAACUCCAUCUCAACCUCCAUGAAUCUUCAAGAAAACCGAAACCCUAGCCGCCUAUUUCUCCUCAAAUUCGUCAAGUUUGUGACCUCACCACCACUUAAUAUCUACAUGAGUGUGUAGGUCUCCCCCUAAUCUACCGUUCUUUCUUGGUUCGAAGUCAAAACUCUGGUGGCUCAAUUCUGGCAGGUUGCUGGACGUUUCUACUUUGGCUCGAAGCAUUUCUUGUUGUUGAGUUCGUUAUUCGACUUCAGUUUGAUUGGAGUUGAUUGUGAUGGGCGAGCAACAAAAAGAGCAUGUCCGACAUCAAAACUUCAUCCAUCACUGCCCAAAUCACCACCACUAUUUCGGACACUCGAGUUUCAGGUACACCCUAAUCCCUUGUAUCUGCUUUCUUUUUCUUUUUCUUUCUGUUUCAUUGUAGUUUGCUUAGGUCUAAAAUUUCUAAUUUUCUUCUUUGUUUGAUCAUGUAUUUUAUUUAUCAUUAGUUAGUUUAGAGUCAGUAUGAUUAGUUGUCGCUCGUCGAUUUCAAAUUAUUGUGUUGUUCGUUCAUUUAGUUACUUCAAUUGGAUUCCUAUCUCAUAUGUUUUGCAAGUGGUGUUUGAAGUUAGUUUUAAAUUCAAGCUUGUAAAUUUUAGAUUCAAUUGCAGUUUGUGUUAUUUCACGUUUAACUUGUCGUGCUAGUUAACUAAUGUUUCAGCAUUUUCAACAAAAUCGCUAGUCAGUUUAGUUUAAAUUGAAGGUUUAAAGUUUGUUUCUCAUCUGAUUACUGCUCACUAUGGUUAAUUCCUAUUAAAUAGGUUAUGUUGAUAUAGUUAGACAUUUAACUAAGAUAGUCAGUUACUCGUUAAAUUGCUCGGCUGUUGGAUUUUUGUUAUAGUUGAUUGUUCACUCAAUUAGGAUCAUUUUGUUUGAGACGAUUUUGUUUGGUUUAGCUUAAUUGUUUGAGUUUUAGUUUGUUGGUAAAGUUCUACCCUUUUACUAAAAGAUUUGGCCAAUCCAAGUCUAGUUUGAGAUCUAUUUCUGCUGAAUGAAUGAAUUGAACAUAAAGGGGAAGGGUAGUAAGGGGUACUUGGGUGUAGGGUCUUUGUUUGGUUGAUUUUACUAUUGAAGACUGUUGGAGUAUAAUACUCCAAAAGACUAUCCAGAUUUGGUGAGGAAAACUAUUCAUUUGACAAAAAUCUGAUUUUGGACAGAUUUUUGAUCAAAAAUCUAUCAUUUUGGACAGAUUUUUGGCUAAACAAAAUCUGUCCCAAGAGUCCUUCUCCUCUCUUAUAAAGGUGAGGUUUUUCCACACUAUCUAGAUAUUCAAAAUACACAUCCUUGCUCACUGAAAAAAGGAACACCACUUGAAAGCAAAAAAAGAGCAACUUAACAUCUAUAGUAAGUUGAAAAGAAAGCUGAAACUCGUGAGCUUUGUGAGUCGAUUCUUAAGUGCAAAACCUUUAAGAAAGUAGAGGGAUAUUAUAAGAAAUUUCUAGAGUGACUAAUUGCUGGCUGCAAUUACUGUGAUGGUCAUCCCUGGUUCACUUUUCUUUGGGUUAAGAGCUGCUGGGUGUUGCUGUUGUUGCUGGUUUCUGUUACUUGAUCCAUUACUGAUACUUACCUUUCUGCUACCAAGUAUUCCUCUUAAGUGCUACUGUAAUUUCAGAAUGUAAGUGAAGCAAUUUGAGUUCCUCAGUUUAUUCUGCUGCCACGAAAAUAUUUUGCUCGGAUGUUCUAAAAAUGCUUUAAGACUACCAGAAUAAAAGGCGAAUGUUUGAGUUAUGAUUAUGCAGAUAAAACAACAUUCAUUUGUGUGUUUCAUUAUCUUUAACUUGGGGGAAAAUGAGUAUUGAAAGUAAGAAUAAAGCCAUAUGUAUAUUAGUUACAUUAAGAUGUGCAUCUGUUUUGACAGUAUGUUGUGUGUUUAGUUUUCUAUUUACUGUCGUUUAAUCAUUAAAAAGAGGACACAUCUUACAUUGUUCAUAUUAAGCUCUUUGACAAGGAUCACGUUAAAGAUGAUUGGGGUUGUUUGAUUGUUUCAACAGAAUUAGGCAAGAACAAAUUGAUUGGUUCACGAUUAUUAAGGUCUAAAGAUCUGACUAUCAUGGGUUCAAUUUGAUGUGAGGUUUUUUUAAAAAAAGGACUAUUAUGUUCUUGUGUAAAUAGCUUCUUGAUUAAUUUUUAUGUAAUGAUUUUUGCUUCUUGGUUCAUGUUCGUAUACAUAGAGACUAUGUGUUCAGUGUUAUGAGACAUGGUAGUGUGGAU